UUCCCCUUCGGGGGACAAAGUGACAGGUGGUGCAUGGUUGUCGUCAGCUCGUGUCGUGAGAUGUUGGGUUAAGUCCCGCAACGAGCGCAACCCUUAAGCUUAGUUGCCAUCAUUAAGUUGGGCACUCUAAGUUGACUGCCGGUGACAAACCGGAGGAAGGUGGGGAUGACGUCAAAUCAUCAUGCCCCUUAUGAUUUGGGCUACACACGUGCUACAAUGGACAAUACAAAGGGCAGCGAAACCGCGAGGUCAAGCAAAUCCCAUAAAGUUGUUCUCAGUUCGGAUUGUAGUCUGCAACUCGACUACAUGAAGCUGGAAUCGCUAGUAAUCGUAGAUCAGCAUGCUACGGUGAAUACGUUCCCGGGUCUUGUACACACCGCCCGUCACACCACGAGAGUUUGUAACACCCGAAGCCGGUGGAGUAACCAUUUGGAGCUAGCCGUCGAAGGUGGGACAAAUGAUUGGGGUGAAGUCGUAACAAGGUAGCCGUAUCGGAAGGUGCGGCUGGAUCACCUCCUUUCUAAGGA
rnacentral:rRNA from 1 species